ACGAGCGUAGUUCAAGGGCAGAAUAGUGGUCUCCAAAACCAUUGAUGGGGGUUCGAAUCCCUCCGCUCGUG
rnacentral:tRNA from 3 species